CGCAUCUGUGCAUGCAGCAUAUCAAUAAGCGGAGGAAAAGAAACUAACAAGGAUUCCCCUAGUAACGGCGAGUGAAGCGGGAAGAGCUCAAAUUUGAAAUCUUAAAGGGUUUCCCUUUACGAAUUGUAGUUUAAAGAAGUGUUUUCUGUUGAGGUUUUGGUAAAAGUUCUUUGGAAUAGGGCAUCAUAGAGGGUGAGAAUCCCGUAUUUGACCUUUACUUUCAACUUUGUGAUACACUUUCAAAGAGUCGGAUUGUUUGGGAAUGCAGUCCAAAAUGGGUGGUAAAUUUCAUCUAAAGCUAAAUAUUGGCGAGAGACCGACAGCGAACAAGUACCGUGAGGGAAAGAUGAAAAGAACUCUGAAAAGAGAGUUAAACAGUACGUGAAAUUGUCAAAAGGGAAGCGUUUGACACCAGUGUUGUUUUUCUGAAAAUCAAUUAAAGAACUGUUUAUGCUAAGCUGUUUAGACUUUAUCAGCUAACUGUUUAGUUUUGAGCUUUUCUUUAAUGCACUUUUCAGUUAACAAGUCAACAUCAAUUUCUUUUGCUGUAAAAAAGCUUGAGGAAGGUGGCUUGAGAUUCGUCUUAAGUGUUUAUAGCCUCUUGCCUAUGCAGUCGGAGAGAUUGAGGUCUGCAGCGUAGAUCCUUCGGGGCUAAAUGCAUUUGUGCUAAGUUAUAGCAUUUUAUAGACAACUUGUUGACUAUGAUUUGUCUUGUAGCUUACUCGCUUAUGUUAUUUUACCUACGCUUAGGAUGUUGAGUCAUCACACAUCUCU
rnacentral:rRNA from 1 species